rnacentral:rRNA from 1 species
GAUGAACGCUGGCGGCGUGCCUAAUACAUGCAAGUCGAGCGAACAGACGAGGAGCUUGCUCCUCUGACGUUAGCGGCGGACGGGUGAGUAACACGUGGAUAACCUACCUAUAAGACUGGGAUAACUUCGGAAAACCGGAGCUAAUACCGGAUAAUAUAUUGAACCGCAUGGUUCAAUAGUGAAAGACGGUUUUGCUGUCACUUAUAGAUGGAUCCGCGCCGCAUUAGCUAGUUGGUAAGGUAACGGCUUACCAAGGCGACGAUGCGUAGCCGACCUGAGAGGGUGAUCGGCGACACUGGAACUGAGACACGGUCCAGACUCCUACGGGAGGCAGCAGUAGGGAAUCUUCCGCAAUGGGCGAAAGCCUGACGGAGCAACGCCGCGUGAGUGAUGAAGGUCUUCGGAUCGUAAAACUCUGUUAUUAGGGAAGAACAAAUGUGUAAGUAACUAUGCACGUCUUGACGGUACCUAAUCAGAAAGCCACGGCUAACUACGUG